rnacentral:rRNA from 1 species
UACGUAGGUGGCGAGCGUUGUCCGGAUUUACUGGGCGUAAAGAGCGCGCAGGCGGUCGUAUAAGUCGCGUGUGAAAGCCCCCGGCUCAACUGGGGAGGGUCACGCGAUACUGUUCGACUCGAAGGCAGGAGAGGGAAGUGGAAUUCCCGGUGUAGUGGUGAAAUGCGUAGAUAUCGGGAGGAACACCAGUGGCGAAGGCGACUUCCUGGCCUGUUCUUGACGCUGAGGCGCGAAAGCGUGGGGAGCGAUCCGG